rnacentral:rRNA from 1 species
CGNNNNAAGUACCCCGCCUGGGGAGUACNNNCGCAAGGUUGAAACUCAAAGGAAUUGACGGNNNNNNNCACAAGCGGUGGAGUAUGUNNNNUAAUUCGANNNAACGCNANNNACCUUACCAGGGUUUGACAUCCACUGAAUACGUAAGAGAUUACGCCGGCCCUUUCGGGGGACAGUGAGACAGGUGGUGCAUGGCUGUCGUCAGCUCGUGUCGUGAGAUGUUGGGUUAAGUCCCGCAACGAGCGCAACCCUUAUCCUGUGUUACCAGCGUGAAAGACGGGGACUCACAGGAGACUGCCGCCGACAAGGCGGAGGAAGGCGGGGAUGACGUCAAGUCAUCAUGCCCCUUAUGUCCUGGGCUACACACGUACUACAAUGGGUGCGAACAGAGGGCAGCGAUCCCGCGAGGGGGAGCCAAUCCCACAAAAGCACUCUCAGUUCGGAUCGCAGGCUGCAACCCGCCUGCGUGAAGUCGGAAUCGCUAGUAAUCGCAGAUCAGCAGGCUGCGGUGAAUACGUUCCCGGGCCUUGUACACACCGCCCGUCACACCACGAAAGUCUGCAACACCCGAAGCCGGUGGGGUAACCGCAAGGAGNNAGCCNNCGAAGGUGGGGCCGAUGAUUGGGGUGAAGUCGUAACAAGGU